rnacentral:tRNA from 1 species
UGUAGUGUAGCUCAGUGGUAGAGCACUUAUCUGGCGUGUGUGAGGCCCUGGGUUCAAUCCCCAGCACCACCA